rnacentral:lncRNA from 1 species
AUGGACCAUCAACAAUAAUUAUUUUCUUAUUAUUGAGACAUGGGACAAAGGUGUUGAAAUAUUUAAAGGACUUAGUUAUGUGAUUUAUGACUCUUAAUUCUACAAUCCGUGGUAGUGCAAAAGGCUUACUUGAGGCAUUUAAUCCAUAUGAGAUAGAAAAUAUACCUGAAUGUACUAAAAGUCUAUACCUUUAGGUUUCUCCAAAGAACGAAGUCGAAUCCUCAGACGCUCAAUUUCUGCCUUGAAGUCACUGAGAUUGCAGUCUGCUCUUUCCAUUGUUGGUUGGCCACAUCUGUUUGUCCUUGAGACUUUGGAGAAUUAUUCUUGUACCCCUCAACCUUUACUGGAGGUGGUAUACUUCCCAUGAAAUUUUCAACAUUUCCCCUUGGUCUAUCUUGGUUUCUUGCAGAAAGUACACUAAAGAUUGUCCCUCCACCAGCUGUUGAUGUAUCACUAUGACUCGGCUCCUUCAUCUUUUAGUGUGGUUUUAAGCCUUUGGUUGUUAUCUUGUACUUUAAGCGAUGCGAGGUUCCAGCCUAAUCCCCCGCCUGCUCUCUUCUGCAACCACAAGGGAUAUCACUUCAUUCUGUGAUGGCAUUUCAUCUUUUCCAAGGAUCUGAACUCUUGCCUUCAUAUUUUUUUAUUAAGACCCACCAUGAAUUUGUAUGCUCUAUCUUUCUACACAAAAUUUCUUCAGUGUGGCUAAAUCUUGCUGUAAUCCAUAGUGAUGCAAUUAUAUUGGUAUGGUUCUUGCCACCAGUUUUUCAGGAGACUAAGGUAUUCCUUCAUUGAUAUGUUUCCUUACUUCGCAGACCAAGUCUUGAUUGUUAAAUCAUAAUUUGAGCUAUGUCUUUAAUUUUUGAGUAUGUUUCCUUGAUGGCUUUCCAAAUCUCUCUUGUGUCGGAUAAGAAUAACUAGGUACCACUGAUUUUUGGGAGCAUUAAGUUCUAGAGCUAUGCCAUUAUCAUUGAGUCCUCUUCAUCCUAAGCAUCACAUUGCGGGUCCUCCAAUUUUGGUCUGGUGUGCAGAAUGUGGUUAAGUUUUUCUUUUCCUUCUAGGAUUGUAUGGAUCAAUAGCGACCACUUCAAGUAAUUCUCCCCAUUCAGCGAUAGGCGUCCUGAAUUAGUUGGAAAUUCUCUAGUUGACUGUUGUGAAUUUACCAUGUUAGGUUUGCACCGAUUUCUCGGGAUGUGACCUUUGAGAUGAUAAAAAUGUCUAGGCAAUUAAGACUAGUUUC